rnacentral:lncRNA from 1 species
ACUUGCUUCAUGAUUGAAAUAAGAAUAAAAAAUAAAAUUAGAUUACCUCUGAAUGAAAAAUAUAAUGACGAAUCCUACAAAAAUGUUUAGUUCAUUAUUAUUGGAAUGAAAACUAAAAUGAAAAUCUAAAAUUUUGAGGGAGGGUUUUGAUUAAGAGAGAGAGAAGAGUAAUGGAGGGAGGAAAAGGGGAGAUGUUUGUGAGAGAUGAUUUUGAAUAGUUUAUUUUGAAAUAGGCCAAUCGAAGAUUCGAAGCUUCAUUGGACUAUAAAUAAAUUUGAUCAUUUUCAUUCUAGAGUGAAAUAGAAAUCCGAAUCUGAUUCAUGUAAAACAAACAACAGUUAUCGAAAUCAAUAAAUUUUAUUCUAAUAACAUAGUUUAAAAUAGAUGAAUCAAAUAUGUCCUUGAUUAAAAAAAAGUCAAAUAACAAAGCCGACAAGUCGUAAAGGGUUAGAUUAAAUUAGAUUUAAUUUAGGUUGA